rnacentral:hammerhead_ribozyme from 1 species
AGAGAUGUCGAGUCCCAAAUAGGACGAAACGCGCGUCCUGGAU